UGCAGUCUUCUUGGACCAAAGCUUUUGUUGUGACUUUUUGUGACAUUCCUUGCAUACACUUUUACCCAAUACGCUUCAUUGAAGGUGGUGGAGUUGUUGGGUCAAAUGGCAAUGAAAGAUUGAUGAAAUUUAAUGCCAAGGGAGAACUGCUUGAGCAUCACAAAUAUGAGCAUAAGUACAAAAAUGUUCAAACCUAUUUUGAUUUAUUUAGAAAGAAUGGGUACAAAAACAGUCAAAUAUAUUUUGAAAUGUACAGAGAGAGUUUGCUAUUAUUUCCUGGUGAACAACCACUCCUUCGUGUAACAUCACUCCCUCGUGACUUUAAGGAAGCAACUGAAAAUGAGGAAGAGGAAGCUAGUGGUUUGUCACUCGAUAGUGUAAAAUCACUCACUUGUGACUUCAAGGAAGCAGCUGAAGAGGUGGAAGCAGCAGAAGAUGAGGAAGAGGAAGCAUCUGAUGACAAAGAAGAGGAAUCUACUGAAGAUGAGCAAGAGGAAUCAACUGAAGAUGACAAUAUAUAACUGUCCAAAAAAGAAAAAUUAGUUAGCACUUAGGUGGCUUUACAAUUCCUGGCUUUUUUUUUCUUUAAUGUUCUGUUCGAUGUUUUGACUUGAAGUUGUGGAGAUAGUGGUCUUAACCAUAUGUGAGCUUGGAGAUGGGAUAAAGUGAAAGGGUUGAAACUAAUCAAGUAUUGUCGUAUUGAUAUGAAUUGUUUUGACCAUUUUGUCAUAUUGAUCUAGUAUUUUAUAAGUUUCAUGAUUAUCCCUAAAGAUGCUUUGUUUUGUAUGCCUAUGGCAAGGACAGUGCAAUGGAUGAAAGAAGUUAGUGUUUCAGCUCAA